rnacentral:rRNA from 1 species
GAUGAACGCUGGCGGCGUGCCUAAUACAUGCAAGUCGAGCGAACGGACGAGAAGCUUGCUUCUCUGAUGUUAGCGGCGGACGGUUGAGUAACACGUGGAUAACCUACCUAUAAGACUGGGAUAACUUCGGGAAACCGGAGCUAAUACCGGAUAAUAUUUUGAACCGCAUGGUUCAAAAGUGAAAGACGGUCUUGCUGUCACUUAUAGAUGGAUCCGCGCUGCAUUAGCUAGUUGGUAAGGUAACGGCUUACCAAGGCAACGAUGCAUAGCCGACCUGAGAGGGUGAUCGGCCACACUGGAACUGAGACACGGUCCAGACUCCUACGGGAGGCAGCAGUAGGGAAUCUUCCGCAAAGGGCGAAAGCCUGACGGAGCAACGCCGCGUGAGUGAUGAAGGUCUUCGGAUCGUAAAACUCUGUUAUUAGGGAAGAACAUAUGUGUAAGUAACUGUGCACAUCUUGACGGUACCUAAUCAGAAAGCCACGGCUAACUACGUG